rnacentral:rRNA from 1 species
ACAGCAGCCGCCGCGGGAAUACGUAGGUCCCGAGCGUUGUCCGGAUUUAUUGGGCGUAAAGCGAGCGCAGGCGGUUAGAUAAGUCUGAAGUUAAAGGCUGUGGCUUAACCAUAGUACGCUUUGGAAACUGUUUAACUUGAGUGCAAGAGGGGAGAGUGGAAUUCCAUGUGUAGCGGUGAAAUGCGUAGAUAUAUGGAGGAACACCGGUGGCGAAAGCGGCUCUCCGGUCUGUAACUGACGCUGAGGCUCGAAAGCGUGGGGAGCAAACAGGAUUAGAUACCCCUGUAGUCCCUGUCUCUUAUACA